rnacentral:rRNA from 1 species
GACGAACGCUGGCGGCGUGCUUAACACAUGCAAGUCGAACGGGAAGGCCCUGCUUGCAGGGUGCUCGAGUGGCGAACGGGUGAGUAACACGUGGGUGAUCUGCCCCUUACUUUGGGAUAAGCCUGGGAAACUGGGUCUAUUACUGGAUAGGACCAUGCUGUAGGUGGUGUGGUGGAAAGAUUAGUUUCGGUAAGGGAUGAGCUCGCGGCCUAUCAGCUUGUUGGUGGGGUAAUGGCCUACCAAGGCGUCGACGGGUAGCCGGCCUGAGAGGGUGGACGGCCACAUUGGGACUGAGAUACGGCCCAGACUCCUACGGGAGGCAGCAGUGGGGAAUAUUGCACAAUGGGCGCAAGCCUGAUGCAGCGACGCCGCGUGGGGGAUGACGGCCUUCGGGUUGUAAACUCCUUUCAGCCAUGACGAAGCCCUUGUGGUGACGGUAGUGGUAGAAGAAGCACCGGCUAACUACGUG